GGUAAAAUGGCUGAGAAUAGGCGAUAAAUUGUAAAUUUAUUUAUGAACAAAUGUUCUUUUACCA
rnacentral:tRNA from 1 species